rnacentral:rRNA from 1 species
UAAUCAAUAGUCGAGGUAAAAAGUUUAACUUAAAAUUUUUUAAAAACAUUUUUAAACUAAGUUAAGGUGAUUAAAAAUUAUUUAAUUAAUACCCUAAAAUAAGUACUGAAAAGGAAUACUAAUAAAUUAUAUAUAAGAAAAAAUUAAAACUUGUACCUUUUGCAUCAUGGUUUAACUAGAUACUUAUUUUAUAUUAAAUUUCUCGAAAUCUAAUGGGCUAUUUUUAUUCUUUAUUUUAGAAAAUUUAGGACUAAUUGUAGCACAAAUUUUCCUAGAAAUGAAAAUAGAAAUGAAAUUUUAUUCGUAUUAGAUGAUAGCUAGUUCUUUUACAAAAGCAUAUAAGUGCUUUAGAUCAAGUUUUUUUUGUGUAAAAUAAAUACAUAAUAAAUUUUGAUCUAAUUAAAUUUUUGAGGAUAAGCUCGAAAAUUGUUAUUAUAUUUACAUAUCAUUUAAAUUAAAAUUUAAGCUUGAAAAUAGCUAUAAUUUUGACUUUGUUAUAAUUUCAUUAAACUAAUUAAAAAAUAAUUAAUUUGUUACUGUCAAUAAAAGAAAACUUUAAAAUCAACAUAAAGCUGAACUUAUGUUAAAAUGAGUAUUAAUUAAUAUAUAAAUUUCUAACAACAUAAAAAUUAGAAUUAGNUGCUAUUGAUAACUUUCCNCUCNUAACANGGNACUCGGCAAAUAUNUCUUCGCCUGGUUUUUCAAAAACAUGGCUCCUUGUAACCCAGAUAGAUAGGGAGUUGGACCUGCCCAGUGAAAAUUUUUAACGGCCGCGGUACUCUGACCGUGCAAAGGUAGCAUAAUCAUUUGCCUUUUAAUUGAAGGCUAGUAUGAAUGGUUUGACAAGAAUAUAGCUGUCUCUUUGUGAUUGAAUAGAACUUUAUAUAUAGGUGAAGAAGCCUAUAUCUAAUUAAAAGACAAGAAGACCCUAUCGAGCUUUAAAUAAGUUAGUACAUUAAUCCAAUUAAUAACACUAAAAAAUUAGUACUAAAAAUUUUAGUUGGGGCGACCGAGGAACAAACAAAGCUUCCUUUAUCAUUAAAAAAUUUACAAAUAAUGUUCCAAAAUAUUUUGAUCAAAGAAAUUAGUUACCGUAGGGAUAACAGCAUUAUCUUUUUUAAGAGCUCUUAUCGAAAAAAAGGUUUGUGACCUCGAUGUUGGAUCAGAAUAUCCUAAAGAUGCAGCAGUCUUUAAGGGUUAGUCUGUUCGACUAUUAAAAUUCUACGUGAUCUGAGUUCAGACCGGCGUGAGCCAGGUCAGUUUCUAUCUUUA